CAGAUAUUAGUUUAUUUAAAAUUUUAAUUUUGGAGAUUAAAGAUAAAAUUAGUUUUAUAUCUGA
rnacentral:tRNA from 1 species